rnacentral:lncRNA from 10 species
AUUUCUUUUCCUUGCAGCUGCAUUUCCAAAUACUUCCAUCCUAUUCACUAGGUUCUACAGGUGGCUUUUCAGGGCUGGAAAGAGGCCUCCCGGGGCUCCAUGGCUGGCUACAAGAUCUGCUUUUAACACUGGACUCAUAACUCUCCAAAAAUGUUCUUUAUUACUUUGCAUAGCAAACAAUCUACAGCAGCAAUUUGGUUUUAUUAUCAGCAGAAGAGUUUGUUUCUGUGCGAGAAGGAGCUGUGGUCUGAAAUUGGGUGUGAAGCAUAUUUUCCAUUUGCUACUGAGAGGCCAUCAAGUUCUGGAUGAUCCUCAGUGAGGGAUACCAUCCUCUCAAUAUUGAAGAGGCACCCUUCUACAAGGGACCCCUAGACUGCCCAUCAGUGUGACAGGAAGGAGGCAAAAUCCUGCCCCUGACUCCCUUGAACCUGGUUAGAUACUGCUUUUACCAACCCAUAGAGUCAACCUCCUGCCCUGAGAGCUAGCAAGAGGCCAAGACCCACAGAACCACCACUGUUCCUCUGUCAGCAGGAAGCAGUUACAGAAGAUUGACCUUCAUCCAUUUUUCCCCCAAAGAUUUGGGGUCUUGGGCUCUUGAGGGGGGAAUGUUACAUGUAGACAGGCAUGAGUGGGGCAGGAGAGGUCUCCCCACUAAUCAGGAAUGUCAGGCAUCAGGUGAUGUUUCAACAAUGAUCACGUUGCCUCUCUAAAAAUGAUAAUUCAGCAGCUGGUGCCAGGGAGAGACAAUCUCCUGUUGAUCCACAGCUGUUAACAUUAAAGUGUUAAUUGAAUGCAGGCGCAUGGGAGAAGCAAAAAUGACUUCCAAAAAAAUCUCAGGUAUUGGGCAAGUAAGCAUUAUGACAAAAUGGUGGAGUAUGACCUUCCAGGGGCACUCCACCAGAAAAGGGAAGAAAGCCUCAGAUGGGCAUGAAUACAACUUACUAAACCCACUGCGUGUGCUGACUUCUCAAGGGCAAGGAGGCAACUGCACAUGUGGGCAGCCCAGCCUAAGGGAAGAAUCACCAGGAAAAGGUACAAGACGCCAGAGGUGGGCCAGCCUAUAAAGUCCUAGGAACAGAGUCAAACGGGACACUUGUACUUUAAGUCACCCACUUGGAUCUCUUCCGAGUACACUUUCUUGUCUCUCCUUCUCUAAAGCUUUUUAAUAAACUUCCACUCCUGC